AUUGAACGCUGGCGGCAGGCUUAACACAUGCAAGUCGAACGAGUGGCGGAAGGGUGAGUAAUGCUUGGGAAUCUGGCUUAUGGAGGGGGAUAAGGACGGGAAAAUGUCGCUAAUAGCGCGUAACAGAGGAUGAGACCAAGUGGGAUUAGGGAGUUGGUGGGGUAAUGGCCUACCAAGCCGACGAUCUCUAGCUGGUCUGAGAGGGUGACCAGCCACACCGGUACUGAGACACGGCCCGGACUCCUACGGGAGGCAGCAGUGGUGAAUAUUGCGCAAUGGGGGCAACCUGACGCAGCCAUGCCGCGUGAAUGAAGAAGGCCUUCGGGUUGUAAAGUUCUUUCGGUGACGAGGCGUUAAUCACAGAAGAAGCACCGGCUAACUCCGUGCCAGCAGCCGCGGUAAUUC
rnacentral:rRNA from 1 species